rnacentral:lncRNA from 1 species
UUUAAAGAAAUAAUGGCUGCAAACUUCCCAAAUCUGGGGAUAGAUGUAGACAUCCAACUUCAUGAGGUUUAUUGGUCCCCAAACUCAACCUAAAGAGAUCUUUUUCACAUGGCAAGAUCUCAUUUUUUUUUUAUGGCUGAGUAAUAUUCCUGUGUGUGUGUGUGUGUGUGUGUGUGUGUGUGUGUGUGUGUGUGUGUUAUAUACCACAUCUUUAUCCACUCAUGUAUUAUUGAUGGACACUUGGGUUGCUUUUAUACUUUUUUUUUCAGAAAAUUAUCUAUUUUACAAAUUUCUUUUCAAAUAUGUUAACAUACAGAUUUACAUUUAAUCUACUGGUAAUUUAAAUGAACAAUCCUUUUACUUAUUGUCAGACCACCUUUUCCAUGUUUAUUUACCUAUUAUUCAAUCUUUUAUUCUUGACCAGAUUUUCUAGAGAUUUAUUAACAAUAUUAUUUUUUAAAGAAAAUAUAAGCUCUUAGAUUCAUUUUACUUUUAUUUUGUUUCAAAUUUACUUUUACUCUAAUUUUUAAAAUUUAAUUAUUUUUAUAAUUUUGCCAGGUCAACAAUUAGCUUAUUUUUAACAAGCUAUAUUGUAUAUUUAUCAUAAAUUUGCCUGAGUAUAUCUUUGCUUAUAUUUAGUGCAUUGCCAUACAGUUUUCUAUUUUUAUUUUCUUAUAUGUUCUUAAAUUUUAAAAAAGUGGGUUUUUUUGACCCUAACAUUAUAUAAAUUGUUGUUUUAUAGUUUUCUCAUCAUUUCUUCUCUUGGUUAUUGGCUGGGGGGGGGGGUUGCCCUUUUUUUUUUUUUUCUGCUGCUAAAAGCAAUAUACUCUCCUCAGUAGAUGUUGCUUAAGGGUACAAACUUGCAACUAGUAGAUAAAUAAGUAUUAAAGAUCUAACGUACAGCAUAGUGAUUAUAGUCAACAAUGCCGUAUUAUAAAUUUCAAAGAAGCUAGGUUGCUGAGACACUAGAUCUUAAUUGUUCUCACCACAAAAAAGACAUAAUUAUGUGAUAUGAUAGGGAUGUUAGGUUUAGCCAACACUAAAGUGGUAAUCAUAUUACAAUACAUAAAUGUAUGAAAUUAACACCUUGUACACCUCUUAUGUAUUCAGUGUUGACAAUAUGUCAAUUAUUUCUCAAUUUAAAAAACCCCAAAUAUUCUAUUUCCCCACUGGCUCUCCAUUUUAUAUAAUGUAAAGUCAAAGUACUUACAAGAUAUAUUGGGGGCUCUUUAAUUUAGCCUGAACCAUCAUCUGCGAUCUUCAUCCACUGUUUUGUCGCCAUUACCUGCUGAAAAUCCUCUCAACCACUUAUGUUGUAUGACUCCCUU